AUUGAACGCUGGCGGUAUGCUUAAGACAUGCAAGUCGAACGGUAACAGGUUAAGCUGACGAGUGGCGGACGAGUGAGUAACGCGUGGGAAUCUACCUUGUAGUGGGGGAUAAGCCAGGGAAACUUGGACUAAUACCGCAUACGCCCUAAGGGGAAAGGCGCAAGUCGCUAUAAGAUGAGCCCGCGUCUGAUUAGGUAGUUGGUGGGGUAAAGGCCUACCAAGCCGACGAUCAGUAGCUGGUCUGAGAGGAUGAUCAGCCACGUCGGGACUGAGACACGGCCCGGACUCCUACGGGAGGCAGCAGUCGGGAAUAUUGGACAAUGGGGGAAACCCUGAUCCAGCAAUACCGCGUGUGUGAAGAAGGCCUGCGGGUUGUAAAGCUCUUUUGUCCGGAAAGAAAGCAAUCGGUUAAUACCCGGUUGUUCUGACGGUACCGGAAGAAUAAGCACCGGCUAACUUCGUG
rnacentral:rRNA from 1 species